UGGGUAAGUAUAACACAUGGGCCAAUGGAAUGGUGACAUGUGUCAAAUUUUCAUCCACUUAUAAUUGGCUUUAGAAAUCAGCACAUAAACCCUCCCAACUCAUUUCUCUUGGUCAGCCAAAGGAAGAAAAGGGAAGAAAAGAAGAAGAACAAAACCCUAGCUAAGAAAUUCAAGGGAAAAUCACUAGAUUUCAAGGAAUGAAGACACUAAAGGUGGUGAGCAUUCUGGCAAGAGUAAAUAGGUAGUAUCCGAGGAUCAAGAAUCAGAGUAUCCCGAAUUCGAUUCCCAUUACAAUUGGUCACUGUAGUGGCGGGUUUUGUGGACCAGCUUAUUAGAGGGGCAUGGAAUCCAG